rnacentral:tRNA from 1 species
CAAGAAGUAGUUUAAAAUAAAAUAAUGGCUUUGGGUGUCAUUGAUAAAAGUUUGAUUCUUUUUUUCUUGA